rnacentral:lncRNA from 1 species
AGGAACCCUAAAGUACAAACAAAGAGAAUAUUCCCUCUUGUGGACUCCAAUAUAAACUAGCCGUUAUUUUUGACUCUGCUGCUCGACCUCGAUCACGACCCGUUGUCGAGCUACUCGACGCAUGAGGUUAUUGACCGACCACGACCACGCCGCACUUAACGAUUUCCAGAUCACUCUCCUCGCCCAACUCUACACGACUUAAUCC